GACCUGAAAUUUCAGUCUACCCUUGAUAUAUUUGAGAGUAUGAUAUCCUGGAAUAUCUAGGAGAGACCAAAUAGCAUGAUACACAGCAGAUCCCCAGCCAACACUCAAACCAUGAACAGGCUCCUUCUGCUUCACCUGUAAAAGGGAAGAAAAUAACAGUAACUGCUUUGUAGGGCUAUAACAAGGGUUGGAUGUAUCAGGAAUGGUGUUAAAAUGUAAAAUGAUCCCCCAGAAUGCUGUUCCCUUCACAAUUAACGUUCCAUGGUUGCAAUAGAAAGUAAAUUUUACAGAAGUACACAGAAAGUCCUUUGUUUCUUCUCACAGUCAGCUAAGAAAGAUCUCAAAAGUGCAUGAAUAUGAAGGGGGGAAGGUCAUCAGGGAGAUGCUUUCUUACCUAAUGGAAUAAAAUAAUUUGCAAAAGCAAAGUGAUAGAACGUCACACCUUAGAAGUACAGGCUCCCCAGCCCAAACUGCAAGAUAUCAACACUAAUGGAACAGAUAAUCAUUUUUAAAAUUAAAAUUGAAACAAAACUCACAAAGUUCCCAAAGCCCCAUGUGUUACUUCUAGACAUAAAAUAAGACUGGCAGUAUGCAGCUUCCCCCAACACCCGCAAGACCAAUUGUCUCCUGACUCAGACUUCGCCCCAAAGAUAACCUGAAAUAACCUCCCUCAAUUGAUUUCUCUUCUCUGGAUGCCAAGAAUCCUUCUAUAAGAUUAUACUGUACAAAAUUCAGCCUUGGAGGCAUUUUAAUGAAAGUUCUCUACCAGUAGGAGAUAUGCCAGAGGAGAGAAAACACUUAAAUUCUUAGAGACUCAACAAAUAAAAGGAGUAUUGUAAUCCAAAGAAGGCCACUGAGCCCUCAUUAAAG
rnacentral:lncRNA from 1 species